rnacentral:rRNA from 1 species
AGAGUUUGAUCCUGGCUCAGGACGAACGCUGGCGGCGUGCUUAACACAUGCAAGUCGAACGGAAAUUAUAGGAAGCUUGCUUCUUGUAAUUUUAGUGGCGAACGGGUGAGUAACGCGUAACCAACCUGCCCUUCAGAGGGGGAUAACAACGGGAAACCGUUGCUAAUACCGCGUACGAAUGAACUUCGGCAUCGGAGCUCAUUGAAAGGUGGCCUCUAUUUAUAAGCUAUCGCUGAAGGAGGGGGUUGCGUCUGAUUAGCUAGUUGGAGGGGUAACGGCCCACCAAGGCAAUGAUCAGUAGCCGGUCUGAGAGGAUGAACGGCCACAUUGGGACUGAGACACGGCCCAAACUCCUACGGGAGGCAGCAGUGGGGAAUCUUCCGCAAUGGACGAAAGUCUGACGGAGCAACGCCGCGUGAGUGAUGACGGCCUUCGGGUUGUAAAGCUCUGUUAAUCGGGACGAAUGGUCUUUGUGUGAAUAAUGCAAAGAUUUGACGGUACCGGAAUAGAAAGCCACGGCUAACUACGUGCCAGCAGCCGCGGUAAUACGUAGGUGGCAAGCGUUGUCCGGAAUUAUUGGGCGUAAAGCGCGCGCAGGCGGUUUCAUAAGUCUGUCUUAAAAGUGCGGGGCUUAACCCCGUGAGGGGAUGGAAACUAUGGAACUGGAGUAUCGGAGAGGAAAGCGGAAUUCCUAGUGUAGCGGUGAAAUGCGUAGAUAUUAGGAAGAACACCAGUGGCGAAGGCGGCUUUCUGGACGACAACUGACGCUGAGGCGCGAAAGCCAGGGGAGCGAACGGGAUUAGAUACCCCGGUAGUCCUGGCCGUAAACGAUGGGUACUAGGUGUAGGAGGUAUCGACCCCUUCUGUGCCGGAGUUAACGCAAUAA